GACAGAGGGUGCAAACGUUGUUCGGAAUUACUGGGCGUAAAGCGUGUGUAGGCGGCCAUUCAAGUCGGAUGUGAAAGCCCUGGGCUCAACCCAGGAAGUGCACCCGAAACUGGAUGGCUUGAGUAUCGGAGAGGUUGGUGGAAUUCUCGGUGUAGAGGUGAAAUUCGUAGAUAUCGAGAGGAACACCGGUGGCGAAGGCGGCCAACUGGACGAAUACUGACGCUGAGACACGAAAGCGUGGGGAGCAAACAGG
rnacentral:rRNA from 1 species